AUUGAACGCUGGCGGCAUGCCUUACACAUGCAAGUCGAACGGCAGCACGAGGCAACCUGGUGGCGAGUGGCGAACGGGUGAGUAAUGCAUCGGAACGUACCUUUCAGUGGGGGAUAACGUAGCGAAAGUUACGCUAAUACCGCAUAUUCUGUGAGCAGGAAAGCAGGGGAUCGCAAGACCUUGCGUUGAUUGAGCGGCCGAUGUCAGAUUAGCUAGUUGGUGAGGUAAAGGCUCACCAAGGCGACGAUCUGUAGCGGGUCUGAGAGGAUGAUCCGCCGCACUGGAACUGAGACACGGUCCAGACUCCUACGGGAGGCAGCAGUGGGGAAUUUUGGACAAUGGGGGCAACCCUGAUCCAGCCAUGCCGCGUGAGUGAAGAAGGCCUUCGGGUUGUAAAGCUCUUUCGGCCGGGAAGAAAUCGCACGGGCUAAUACCCUGUGUGGAUGACGGUACCGGAAUAAGAAGCACCGGCUAACUACGUGCCAGCCGCCGCGGUAAGAC
rnacentral:rRNA from 1 species